AUAACUAAGCGGAGGAAAAGAAACUAACCAGGAUUCCCCCAGUAACGGCGAGUGAAGCGGGAAGAGCUCACGUUGUAAAUCUGCCCCAGUGGCCGAAUUGUAGUCUGGAGAGGCGAGGCCAGCCGUUGGCGGGGGCGAAGUCUCUUGGAAAAGAGCAUCAAGGAGGGUGACAAUCCCGUUCCUGCCCCCGCGCGACGUGCGUCCGGCCCGUUUUCGAAGAGUCGAGUUGCUUGGGAUUGCAGCUCAAAGCGGGUGGUAAAUUCCAUCUAAAGCUAAACACGAGUGGGAGACCGAUAGCGAACAAGUACCGUGAGGGAAAGAUGCAAAGAACUUUGAAAAGAGAGUUAAAGAGUGCCUGAAAUUGCUGAAAGGGAAGCGAAGGAAACCAGUGUCUGGCGGUCUACUUGCUCUCCGGCGCCCUUCGGGGCGCCGGUCUGAAACGAUUCCGCCGUGGCCAGGGCCGGGUGACGUCGCGGGAGACUGCGCAAGGCGGAAGGUACGUCUCCGUGCCUCUUCGGAGCGCUCGGAGAGGGAAUAGGCCGUGGCGUGUCGCCGCGACGCCGGCCGGUUCUGACGAAAUGGUUUUCUUCAC
rnacentral:rRNA from 1 species